GAUGAACGCUGGCGGCGUGCUUAACACAUGCAAGUCGAACGGAAAGGCCCAAGCUUGCUUGGGUACUCGAGUGGCGAACGGGUGAGUAACACGUGGGUGAUCUGCCCUGCACUUCGGGAUAAGCCUGGGAAACUGGGUCUAAUACCGGAUAGGACCACUUCUUGGAUGUUGUGGUGGAAAGUUUUUUCGGUGUGGGAUGAGCUCGCGGCCUAUCAGCUUGUUGGUGGGGUAAUGGCCUACCAAGGCGUCGACGGGUAGCCGGCCUGAGAGGGUGUACGGCCACAUUGGGACUGAGAGACGGCCCAGACGCCUACGGGAGGCAGCAGUGGGGAAUAUUGCACAAUGGGCGCAAGCCUGAUGCAGCGACGCCGCGUGGGGGAUGACGGCCUUCGGGUUGUAAACUCCUUUCGCUAGGGACGAAGCGUUUUGUGACGGUACCUGGAGAAGAAGCACCGGCUAACUACGUG
rnacentral:rRNA from 1 species